rnacentral:rRNA from 1 species
AUUGAACGCUGGCGGCAUGCCUUACACAUGCAAGUCGAACGGUAACAGGUCUUCGGAUGCUGACGAGUGGCGAACGGGUGAGUAAUACAUCGGAACGUGCCCGAUCGUGGGGGAUAACGGAGCGAAAGCUUUGCUAAUACCGCAUACGAUCUACGGAUGAAAGCAGGGGACCGCAAGGCCUUGCGCGGACGGAGCGGCCGAUGGCAGAUUAGGUAGUUGGUGGGAUAAAAGCUUACCAAGCCGACGAUCUGUAGCUGGUCUGAGAGGACGACCAGCCACACUGGGACUGAGACACGGCCCAGACUCCUACGGGAGGCAGCAGUGGGGAAUUUUGGACAAUGGGCGAAAGCCUGAUCCAGCCAUGCCGCGUGCAGGAUGAAGGCCUUCGGGUUGUAAACUGCUUUUGUACGGAACGAAAAGACUCUUUCUAAUAAAGAGGGUCCAUGACGGUACCGCAAGAAUAAGCACCGGCUAACUACGUG